UGGGGAGUGGCCAAGCUGGUAAGGCGCCUGACUCUGGAUCAGGAGAUCCUAGGUUCGAAUCCUAGCUCCCCAGCCA
rnacentral:tRNA from 1 species